rnacentral:rRNA from 1 species
UACAGAGGUCUCAAGCGUUGUUCGGAUUCAUUGGGCGUAAAGGGUGCGUAGGCGGCGCGGUAAGUCGGGUGUGAAAUCUCGGAGCUUAACUCCGAAACUGCAUUCGAUACUGCCGUGCUUGAGGACUGGAGAGGAGACUGGAAUUUACGGUGUAGCGGUGAAAUGCGUAGAGAUCGGGAGGAACACCAGAGGCGAAGGCGGCGACCUGGACAGGUACUGACACUCAACUACGAAAGCGUGGGGAGCAAACAGG